rnacentral:lncRNA from 1 species
CUUAGUGUGGCUGUACCCAGGUCAGAUCCAAGGUUGGGACUGGGACCAGGUGGACUUUGUUUGUUGGGGCUUUAGAUUCCCAGAGAGUUAGCUCUAAGCGACCACAUCAUUCUAGAUUGACCUUAAUCUGUUUACUGAAGUCCCACUGCUAAAUGAUAGACUCACCCCUGUUUCUCUGCAUCCCUUGCCCCUCCCUCAUGCAGACCAGACCAACACAACCAUGACAUAGUCUCUCUGCACUGGUCCAAUCGCUGCUCAGUGCCGUCUGAGUAUAGCGCUCUCCUUUUAAAUCCCCCUCUCUGUGGUGAAUCAGCACUUGCAGCGCAGCCCUCCGGUGAUACAGCAGGUGGUAGAGGAGUCUACUGAAACAGCCUACACAUUUUCCGGCCGUGAGUGGGGCCUUCAUGGAUUCCCCGUACAAUGGCAACACGUCCCUCCAGACCUCCACCUCCAACCUCAACGCCAACUUCUCCCGGCCGACAGAGGCGGAAGAGGAGGGCAAGUACUCCAGCGACGCCAUCUGGCUUUGGGUGGCCGUCAUUGCAACCAUCGGCAACAUAGUAGUGGUAGCAGUGGUUUGCGCCUGUGCCUUCUAAGACUCGUUAGUUACAAGCACACAGCCGAACCUCCCUCUUGCCACUUUUUCCCCCUCCACUUUGACCUAUCCCCUGUAUUCGUUUUCAUCUGGUAUGUGUCCAUCCGUAAUAUUAAAGCCAAGGCCAAGUUCUGAGGGUCGCCGGAAUAUGAUCGUGAAAAUAUAGGGAUUGAUUUAACUGAUGUUCUGUAGGACUAUGAAUGCGUUUGUAAGUCUAGGAAUGAGAGCGAGAGAGACAAUCCUCUGGAGUUACCAUACCGUAUCUUACCUAAAGCCUAUGUCUCCCAACGUGUUUUUUUAUUUAUUUUAAUGAUAAAUGGGGAAGUGAGCUGAUGUGGGCUGUGCCUUUGUAUAAUGAACAUUUUGUAAAUGAGUUAUGGAAAUGGACAUUGUAUAAAGCAGCCUCCGUUCUGCUUUCCAAUCGGAGGGAUCAACAGAGGUCAGCCUAAAGGAAGGGAAGUGGAAGUUGUAGGGAAGUGGGAAGUGCACAGGGAACGUGUACAGCUGUGAGAUCCCCUCUGCCUAUGAACCUGAACAGAACACCACCCCAUAUAUCUUUGUCUGGUUGAUGUCAUGUGCCUGUUUGUCUGAAAUGAAUGUGUUGAUGCUGCUGCCUUGGUCCAGGUCUCUCUUGAAAAUUAAAAAUUUUUUGUAUCUCAAUGAGACCAACCUGGUUAAAUAAGGGUGAUAUAAAUAAACACGGAAUCAGCAGUUCCCGUUGUGGUUGGCCACUGUCUCGGAGACCAGUGGAGAGAUAUGUGACAGAUGGUGGCUGGUAGGAGCGCUGAGGGGACAGCGGAGGGGCCCAGGGCAGACUUGGCAGUACCCCUCAGUACUCUGUGUUCUUUCCUGUGACUGCUGCACCACUGCACUACCAUUCACCAUUACUGCUCUGUCCUGUCCUCAUCGGCCUCUGUGAUAGAAAUCUCCCUAAGCACUUUAUAAAAACCCAAUAAACUGGGGCGUUUUCUUCCGUUUUAACUGCAGUGUUCUGGGCUCACCUGUUGCAUCUCUGCAGUGGCUGUAGACCUGUGCCAGUUGAACUAUGCAGUGAUGGCAUCCCACUGGGCACACACUGGUUGAAUAUAGAACGUCAUUUCAAUGAAAUGUUCCCCGUUGGAUAGCUGUGGAUAAUGUUUAGAAGUGAGACCGAUGUAUACAAACACAGUAUCACCCACAAGCCAAAAUAAGGGAAUUAAGUUGUCAGCACACAUCUUAUGUUAUACCACCCCUGCUGACAUUAUCUGCAAUUACGGAGCCACCAAUUACAUCGCACUAAAUCAUGGAGCCGCCCACCAUAACCAGACUAUCCCAAAUGACCCGACCGCCGCUACGAAGGCCCCACGCUGUUGAGCUAGCAAUGAAAUGAUUUUGCUCCUGUCAUAAGAAACCCCAUUGCUGUUAACGUUAGUUUUUUGUUGUUGUUGUGCCAGGCAGGCAGAAUCUCACAUUCACCUCAGAUUGUCUCUCAGUAGACUAGUGUGUGUAGGUGGCAGCCUCCCCAGUAGUUCUGUGCUGUGCUGUCUCCCAUGCACCCAGUGGAGUGGGGCCACAGACUUGUCAAGCGGCAGGGCUGUAAUGAGACGUAAUGCCUCUCUCUCUCUCUCUAUAUCUCUUUCCUAAAGCGAACAGUGACCUCUCAGUUGCGCUGCGGUGAUCAGAGCAGAUCUGAUCCCUGCUGCACUCGGCUGCGCUGAACAAAGAUAGUGCUUCAAAGUGCAUUUUUAGACUGGGACUUCCUCAUUUAAUCAGCACUCGUUGUGAUUGAAAGGGAGAGGAGGAGGAGAGAGGAGUGACCGCAUGGGAUUGGAUUUGUAACAGCCAACUUCCAUGUCAUCGCUUUGAAUUACAGGACUUUUUUUGAAGUACAAUGGAAAAUAUAUAUUUUUUUAUUGAAACCAACGAAGUGGAAUAAAAGGUUUUAAGAUGGAGAGAUUUAGGAUCAAAAGUCAGGCUGAGACAUCACUCCACACAGCUAAUUGCCCUGAUCUCACUGUACAGUAGAGUUAAUGAAAACAAGAGACAGAUUCAUCAUGGCGUCUCUGAGCGGUCCUUUUCAGGUUCCUUAGAGAGCUUAGUCUGAAGAAACCUGAGGGAACAGUAAUGCAUUGUCUCUUAACAAUAAACAACAACAAACCAAAAAAACGCUAGUGUCUCUAUGGCACUGUAUGGGGCGUCAUAAGUAUCUGCUGGCAAUAACUCAAGAUGACGCUAACAAGUUAGUAUUAUACAUCCCCACUAUAUGUAGUUACUUUAAUACAGUAACUAUUCUGAAACAACAUGCAUAUGAACUAGGUGAAGAAUCCCAGUUAGCUAUAAUAUGAAUUUCUUCUACCCUUGUGUCGGCUGUGUGCUUUGACAUGGGACUGGUUAAGGCUCCGGUGCCCACUGUCUACGGCUCAAAUUAUGUGCCUGAGCUGACUAACACAACACCUACCCGUCAACUGCUUAUGUGACCAUGGAUGCUCCUUAACCACCACGGGACGAUGGUCCUCCUCCACACGACGGGACGUCAUCACAGCCUCAAGCCCCAGGUACCGCGUGACCCCGUUUGCAAGACCACGUAGGCGCGUUUCACCGGACACAGGCGAAUAAAAGCUAAUCCUGUACUCCAAAAAACAUUCCGAUGGAGAUUCUCUAUUGAGCCUAAUGUUUAUUAACUAGUGUCCGGGAAACUGCCCUUUUACUGUUUUUAAGAUUUGUUUUUCAUUACCGCCUCCAGGUAAAAAAGUGAAUUGUUGAGCUAUACAGUAUGCAUCUGCCUGUUAAAGGGAACAGUUCUUUUUUUUUUUGUGUUGGGGAACUUGGAGUUGAUGCUUCAUACAUAAUCUCAUUUGUUUUCAUGUACUGUUUCUUUAUUUCUAUAAGUCAACAUUACUUCAGUCGUACUACGUCUACUGUAGAUCUUGAGUUUAAACAUUCUGCUAAGCAUGUCGUCUCCUUAUUCCUUCUAAUGGAUUAGUAGUGCAUCUCAAUACGGUGUUAACUGAGAUAGCAUGUGUAGACUUGUCAUCAUGUAUCCUCUACUGCAUUAUAUGAUCAAUGUCACAUUCGUAAAGAAAUACUACUAUGACAAAACUCAUGUAGUUACAGCUGUUAAAUGGGGGAGACGUGGCCAUAGGGUGCUCCCUCCACCAACAGAUGCAUUUCACCACGUUUGACUUCCUCCCUCCAUAGGCCCAGAGGGGACUGCUUAAUUACAGCCCAGAGAGCACUGCACGUUCCAUCCUCCUUCUCCUUUCCCCUCUGUUCUCUCUUCUUCCACCCCUCCAUCCAUCCAUCCAUGCAGAGCAUUAGACCGUGGUGUCUGCGUUGGUACUGACCUCUGACUCGAGGCAGGGCACCUCAUGCCCACAUGCCUCUUCCUUCCCAGGCAGCAAGAAAUAGUCCGGCCGUUGCUGGGGAAAUGGACGAUUCACUCCUACGAGAGGAGAAUUGUAGGAGCAAGGAGCAGCUGGGUAUAUAAGCGAACACACACACAAUGUAAAUGUACCUUUCCGUAACAUGGUUGAGAUGACAAUGCUAUGAUGUCAUUAUGUGCUCUCAGGGUUUGUAUUUGUUCGUAUCUUUCAAUAGAUUUGACAUGUUUUACACCAUUUUUCUUACCAUGGUUCUAAUUAGCAAAUGAGAACAUUUUUAUAGGGGCCAUUAAAAGUGGAGCUAGUCUUCCUGGGCUAACUGUGUUAUGCUUCAAUUUUGAGCUCUAUUCAAUCUUUAUCUCUGAAGCGGUACAGAUUGCGCAACAGAAAUGUAAAGGUCAUUUCCAUAUGAGCCGACGUAUGCAGCCUUUACCAAGAAUACAGUCGCCGCUAACAUUGCCUUUAAAUUUCAAGCACACUGCAACGCUGAACUUCCCCGAUAUGGAUUGAAUAGAGCCCCGAGGCGAAUAUUCUCUCCAAUUACACUAGUUAUAAAUUCGCUUUAAUUAAUAAGCACUGUAUUGCCUAAUGUCAGAGUUAUUCACACACAGUCAAACAUGCUUACUGCUGAGGUAUAGCCCUAGACUAUGUUGCAUAAAUAUGCUGCCCCACACUAACUUGGAAGUUCUAUAAUUCAUAAGCAUGAUAGUCUUUGUAAAUAUUUAAUAGCUUAUGAAUACAACAGUUCACAUAUCGUGAUAUACCCAUGUAUGAAUUGACAAAUGACCUA